rnacentral:misc_RNA from 1 species
UCACCCCUCAAGCCCCGUGCUUGGUGUUGGACGGCUGGUCGAGAAAUCGCACCCCUCCUCAUGAUAACGACGGCGACCUGUGGUUCCCCCGGUACAAUGAGCUUCUCACAGAGCACGUAUCGGACAAGGGCGCCCAGGACCCGGUCUUCUCCUCUCACGAGGAACUAUUUUACAA